UUAAUUCUGUCCUUGUGGUAACAUAGGUAACUACAAAAUAAAAACAAUCAAUUAAUUCUGUCCUUGUGAUAACAUGGUAACUACAAAAUAAAAACAAUCAAUUAAUUCUGUCCUUGUGGUAACAUGGUAACUACAAAAUAAAAACAAUCAAUUAAUUCUGUCCUUGUGGUAACAUAGGUAACUACAAAAUAAAAACAAUCAAUUAAUUCUGUCCUUGUGAUAACAUGGUAACUACAAAAUAAAAACAAUCAAUUAAUUCUGUCCUUGUGGUAACAUGGUAACUACAAAAUAAAAACAAUCAAUUAAUUCUGUCCUUGUGGUAACAUAGGUAACUACAAAAUAAAAACAAUCAAUUAAUUCUGUCCUUGUGGUAACAUGGUAACUACAAAAUAAAAACAAUCAAUUAAUUCUGUCCUUGUGGUAACAUAGGUAACUACAAAAUAAAAACAAUCAAUUAAUUCUGUCCUUGUGGUAACAGAGGUAACUACAAAAUAAAAACAAUUAAUUAAUUCUGUC